UAAGCAUGAAGCCCCCCUCAAGAUGAGAUUUCCCAUAGCGUAAGCUAGUAAGAUCCCUGAAAGAUGAUCAGGUUGAUAGGUCAGAGGUGGAAGCGUGGCGACAUGUGUAGCUGACUGAUACUAAUCGAUCGAGGACUUAACCAA
rnacentral:rRNA from 1 species